GAAUGUAAAACCCUUCCAGAGUAACAAUUGGAGGGCAAGUCUGGUGCCAGCAGCCGCGGUAAUUCCAGCUCCAAUAGUGUAUAUUAGAGUUGUUGCAGUUAAAAAGCUCGUAGUUGGAUUUCUGUCGUGGUCAUCUGGCUCUGCCCGUAUGGGUUUGGGCCUGCAUGCCCUCGGCUUUCUCCCAGUGGGUCCCCGCGCUUCAUUGCGUGUGGGGCUUUUUCUGGGGCUUUUACUUUGAGAAAAAUAGAGUGUUUCAAGCAGGCUUGUCGC
rnacentral:rRNA from 1 species